GACGGAGGGUGCAAGCGUUGUCCGGAAUCACUGGGCGUAAAGGGCGCGUAGGCGGUCCGCUAAGUCUGAUGUGAAAGCCCGGGGCUCACCCCCGGAAGGGCAUUGGAAACUGGCGGACUCGAGUCUCGGAGAGGAAGGUGGAAUUCCUGGUGUAGCGGUGAAAUGCGUAGAUAUCAGGAGGAAUACCGGUGGCGAAGGCGGCCGUCUGGACGAUGACUGACGCUGAGACGCGAAAGCGUGGGGAGCGAACAGG
rnacentral:rRNA from 1 species